UACGUAGGGUGCGAGCGUUGUCCGGAAUUAUUGGGCGUAAAGGGCUCGUAGGCGGUCUGUUGCGUCAGGAGUGAAAACUCGGGGCUUAACCCCGAGCCUGCUUCUGAUACGGGCAGACUAGAGGUAUGCAGGGGAGAACGGAAUUCCUGGUGUAGCGGUGAAAUGCGCAGAUAUCAGGAGAAACAUCAGUGGCGAAGGCGGUCUGCUGGGCCGUUGCUGACGCUGAGGCGCGACAGCGUGGGGAGCAAACAGG
rnacentral:rRNA from 1 species